AUAUGUACCUGGCAGGGGAGAUACCAUGAUCACAAAGGUGGUUUUCCCAGGGCGAGGCUUAACCAUUUACUCCAGAUGUGCUGAGAGAUUUCCCCAAAUGUAGGAAACUUGACUGCAUAAUUUGUGGUUAGUGGGGGCCUGUGUUUGCACUCCCCCCCC